rnacentral:rRNA from 1 species
AUUGAACGCUGGCGGCAGGCCUAACACAUGCAAGUCGAACGAGUGGCGGACGGGUGAGUAAUUUCUGGGAAACUGCCUGAUGGAGGGGGUUAACUACUGGAAACGGUAGCAAAUACCGCUUACCAUCGGAUCUGCCCAGAGGGGAUUAGCUAGUAGGUGGGGUAAAGGCUCACCUAGGAGACGAUACAUAGCCGGUCUGAGAGGAUGACCGGCCACACUGGAACUGAGACACGGUCCAGACUCCUACGGGAGGCAGCAGUAGGGAAUAUUGCACAAUGGGCGAAAGCCUGAUGCAGCCAUGCCGCGUGUAUGAAGAAGGCUUUCGGGUUGUAAAGUACUUUCAUCGGGGAAGCGGUACCCACAGAAGAAGCACCGGCUAACUCCGUGCCAGCAGCCGCGGUAAUAC